AUCAACAUCUUGACAUCCUGUUGAAAAUUUAAUAUUCUUCGCAAUUGAAUCAAAUUCAUUAAAUGAAAUUGACAUCAAGAGACGAGUUAAUUUUUUGAAUUUUGAAAAACCAUAACACUGCAUCUCGCAGAUGUUUGACGUGUCUCGAAUGAGGGGAAUAGAGAAAGAUAUAUCUCUCU
rnacentral:lncRNA from 1 species